CAGCACAUUGUCCAUCAGCGCUCCAUUCCUUCUGGCUGGGGUGUAAAUCCUGCAUUCCAUGAAAAAGAAAAUGCCAGGAUUCAUGCAAGGCUGAACCAUCGCUUCAGGCAUGUGAGAAAUGCCAAAGCCUUGAUCAAAACGGUGUCUUUUUCGUGGAGGCAGAAACAUGUUUGCAGUAUCCUGGCAAAGUUGGAGAACAAAACAAAAAUGGAAAGAAGAAAAUGGAGAGCAUACAAGGAAUUUGUAAAUGUUGCUUUAACAAUGACGCAGAGAACAAGACUCAUUUUUCCUUGGAAGUGUUGCUUGUUUUGACCUCUUCAUUCACAACUUCGCUAGACUUCUUCCGAUUAUGUACUUGAUAAUCAAAAAUGCCAUCAGAAGGCAGGAGUAAGAAUCCGGACUACAACCAGAGGAGGAGAUGACUGGGCAACCCAAACCCAUCGGUGGACUUUCUACCUCCAGAGAGGAGACUCCAGCAGUAGCUCAACCUGCAGAACAGUCUGUGCACAGCUGCAGGCUCAUGGAAACAAGAGCAGAUUUGUAACUGUUCCCAGCUCCUUGAUAACGACUGCUGGGCAGUCUCAAGCUGUUGUAUGAUGAAAACUUUCCACUUGAGCUCAUUUUAAUGAUAUCUCCAAAGAUAUGACUAAGUAAUCAAACUUCGGUGCAAUGAUAAAUCUUAAAGGACCCUCUUCUAGAGGGAGGAACGAUACUCUUAAAAAUGGGGAAAACAGAAACUCUUUCAGUGUCGGAGGGAAACUUGUGGCUACUGAGGGGGAGAUUAUUGUGUUGCUUGACUGUAAGCAGUUUCAGAUACUGCAAGUGAAUCAGUUGCCCAGUAAAAAAUCACAUGAAACGUCACAUAC